GAUGAACGCUGGCGGCGUGCCUAAUACAUGCAAGUCGAGCGAACGGACGAGAAGCUUGCUUCUCUGAUGUUAGCGGCGGACGGGUGAGUAACACGUGGAUAACCUACCUAUAAGACUGGGAUAACUUCGGGAAACCGUAGCUAAUACCGGAUAAUAUUUUGAACCGCAUGGUUCAAAAGUGAAAGACGGUCUUGCUGUCACUUAUAGAUGGAUCCGCGCUGCAUUAGCUAGUUGGUACGGUAACGGCUUACCAAGGCAACGAUGCAUAGCCGAACUGAGAGGGGGAUCGGCCACAUGGGAACUGAGACACGGUCCAGACUCCUACGGGAGGCAGCAGUAGGGAAUCGGCCGCAAUGGGCGAAGGCCUGACGGAGCAACGCCGCGUGAGUGAUGAAGGUCUUCGGAUCGUAAAACUCUGUUAUUAGGGAAGAACAGAUGUGUAAGGAACUGUGCACAUCUUGACGGUACCUAAUCAGAAAGCCACGGCUAACUACGUG
rnacentral:rRNA from 1 species